ACAUGGUCGUUUACUACACGAAGGAUCUCCUGUUGAGAUAUCAUCAUCAAUGGAUGAAGCGCUUUGCAAGAUGGAGCAGGAUGUGCUCCCGAGGAAUAAAAAGGAGACACAAGCCCCUUCAAGCUUUGGUGCGGUAGAUGCUACCACUUCUGAUGAUGUGCACAGCAGUGUCACCCCAGGUUCUGUUCGGCCGGCAAGGGUUGUGCAACCUCCCCCAGAAGUGGAUUUCGAACCUCCAAUAAAGGCCACGAAGCAACAACAAGAACUUUAUGAUAUCAUGAGGCGUUUUGGAAAUGUGCGAAGUAACAACAUGCAUAUGAAUGCAAUCAGAGAAACUAAGGUCAUCAACUGCUACUCCACGUUCGUUCACAUGGACGAUCUCACCAAGUCUCUGAUGCAUACCGGCAAACUAUCCCAGAAUGUUUUUGCCGCGGGUAUUGACUAUAUCAACGGACACAUUGACAUCCAUCCCGAUAAGAUCAUUAUGAGCACAACCAUCAUGAGGAGAAUUUGGGACAGCGACUUCUCUCAUCCCCAAGUUUGUAAAGUGUUUGCCCAACAUGGUGACUACAAGCUCACACUGAAGAAAUUUGUGAUGUUCGAGAUGUUCCAAGAGCUUGCUCCCAAUGAUUCACACGACAAAGUUUGACACUACUACACGAUUUGCAUCAACUUGGCGAAGCAACGUUUUGAUGUUCUGGACUCAAUCCGUUCGGGGGACGACGAUUCUCUUUGUUCGCACAUAGAGUUUUUCAUCAAUAACUUGAAGGAAACCUGGAUGCGUCACUACAGUGGCUCUAAGGUCUAGUUCAAAGAUUACCCUAUCAACUACGACUGCGGUAUGUAAACAUUGGAAUAUCUUGCUAAGUGGGAAGGCAGGAAGGUGCCAACUCUGAAGAAGGAAAUAGUCGCAGAGCUUAGGAAGAUUUAUCUGUGGAAUUGGGUCACGAAUGUUGAUUUUUAACAAGCGGGAGGGUGCAAAGGCUUGGAUAGAGGAUGACGUUAAAGCUACUAUCAAGAGAUACCGGUGAAUGCAUGAAAUAAUGAAGACUUUUGUUUUAGCUCUGUACUUACAUUCUUUGUUCGGAUGAAUGUAAGGUACUGCCACCCAAUUUCCCCGUCCUUCAAUUUUUUUAUCCUUGUCGUUUUGUACCCGCACAUCACCAUGUUUGUGUCGUGAACCCUUUGUGCUUGUAUUUUUCAAAACAUAACUUCGAUGUCAAAUGUUGUUAACUGUUAGUGGGGCAACCCGUUUACGCUUAUACUUACAGUUUGUUUUUGUCGUUCAAUUUGAAAGUCAAUACACUUUU